GGGGGUGUAGCUCAGAUGGUAGAGCGCGCGCUUAGCAUGCGCGAGGUACCGGGAUCGAUACCCGGCACUUCAA
rfam:Ciona savignyi cont_7288, whole genome shotgun sequence.